UUUCAUUGGGGACAUUUUCUUUUCCUGACUUCUUGAUGGAACCAUCCUCUCUCCCAUCCUCUGACCUCACAUCCUUGCCUUGGCUUUCUCCUUUCUAGGUGACUCUUGAAGCUCAGGUUGGCUCACUCCUCGUUGCAUUGGAUCUGCGAAUGUUUGCAGGGUCCUGGAGAUGGAAGAGAGCUCUCAGCAUCCCUGGGGUAGUCAGCCUGGUGGUAAACUAUUCUUGGUGAUCUCUCCUGGGACAUGCCAGGAGGUGCCUCUUGGGAGCUCCAUCACACCAAGUCUGGGGAACCACGCCAUCCAACAUGCUGUUGGAUGGGAGGCCAUGGGAAGAAUGACUGGUGAGUCCACAAAGCAGGGCUUUUGGGAUAUUUUUUUAUUAUAA
rnacentral:lncRNA from 1 species